rnacentral:rRNA from 1 species
GGAUUGCCUCAGUAACGGCGAGUGAAGCGGCAAGAGCUCAAAUUUGAAAGCUGGCUCCUUCGGGGUCCGCAUUGUAAUUUGCAGAGGAUGCUUCGGGUGCGGCCCCUGUCUAAGUGCCCUGGAACGGGCCGUCAGAGAGGGUGAGAAUCCCGUCUGGGAUGGGGUGUCCGCGCCCGUGUGAAGCUCCUUCGACGAGUCGAGUUGUUUGGGAAUGCAGCUCUAAAUGGGUGGUAAAUUUCAUCUAAAGCUAAAUACUGGCCGGAGACCGAUAGCGCACAAGUAGAGUGAUCGAAAGAUGAAAAGCACUUUGAAAAGAGAGUUAAAAAGCACGUGAAAUUGUUGAAAGGGAAGCGCUUGCGACCAGACUCGCCUCCAGGGUUCAGCCGGCAUUCGUGCCGGUGUACUUCCCUGGGGGCGGGCCAGCGUCGGUUUGGGCGGCCGGUCAAAGGCUCCCGGAAUGUAGUGCCCUCCGGGGCACCUUAUAGCCGGGAGUGCAAUGCGGCCAGCCUGGACCGAGGAACGCGCUUCGGCACGGACGCUGGCAUAAUGGUCGUAAACGACCCGUCUUGAAACACGGACCAAGGAGUCUAACAUCUACGCGAGUGUUCGGGUGUCAAACCCGUACGCGCAGUGAAAGCGAACGGAGGUGGGAGCCCCCUCGUGGGGCGCACCAUCGACCGAUCCUGAUGUCUUCGGAUGGAUUUGAGUAAGAGCGUAAAUGUGGGGGACCCGAAAGAUGGUGAACUAUGCCUGAAUAGGGCGAAGCCAGGAGGGAAACUCUGGUGGAGGCUCGCAGCGGGUUCUGACGUGCAAAUCGAUCGUCAAAUUUGGGUAUAGGGG